CACGUAGGGUGCGAGCGUUGUCCGGAAUUAUUGGGCGUAAAGAGCUCGUAGGCGGUGUGUCGCGUCGGCCGUGAAAACCUGCAGCUUAACUGUGGGCGUGCGGUCGAUACGGGCAUCACUGGAGUUCGGCAGGGGAGACUGGAAUUCCUGGUGUAGCGGUGAAAUGCGCAGAUAUCAGGAGGAACACCGGUGGCGAAGGCGGGUCUCUGGGCCGAUACUGACGCUGAGGAGCGAAAGCUAGGGGAGCGAACAGG
rnacentral:rRNA from 1 species